GACGAACGCGGCGGCGUGCCUAAUACAUGCAAGUAGAACGCACAGGAUGCACCGUAGUUUACUACACCGUAUUCUGUGAGUUGCGAACGGGUGAAUAACGCGUAGGUACCCUGCCUGGUAGCGGGGGAUAACUAUUGGAAACGAUAGCUAAUACCGCAUAAGAACAUUUACUGCAUGGUAGAUGUUUAAAAGGUGCAAAUGCAUCACUACCAGAUGGACCUGCGUUGUAUUAGCUAGUAGGUGAGGUAACGGCUCACCUAGGCGACGAUACAUAGCCGACCUGAGAGGGUGAUCGGCCACACUGGGACUGAGACACGGCCCAGACUCCUACGGGAGGCAGCAGUAGGGAAUCUUCGGCAAUGGGGGGAACCCUGACCGAGCAACGCCGCGUGAGUGAAGAAGGUUUUCGGAUCGUAAAGCUCUGUUGUUAAGGAAGAACGAGUGUGAGAAUGGAAAGUUCAUACUGUGACGGUACUAA
rnacentral:rRNA from 1 species